rnacentral:lncRNA from 1 species
AAAAAAAAAGACGUUCAUACUACUCAAAGCAUUCUAUAGAUUUAAUGCAAGUCCUAUCAAUAUCUCAAUGUUUUUUUAAGAAAUAUAAAAAUUUAUCCUUAAAUUCCUAUGGAAUCUCAAGGGACCCAAAAUAGCCAAAACAAUCUUGAAAAGGAAGAACAAAGUCGAAAGGUUCACACUUCAUGAUUUCUAAGCUUACUAUAGUGCUACAGUAAUUAAAGCAGUAUGGUACUUGCAUAAAGACAGACAUAUAGACCAAUAGAAACAGGCAAAAGAUGUUUUAGACAUCUCUCCAAAGAAGAAAUACAAAUGUUCAAUAAAUACAUGAAAAGGUGUUUAACAUCAUUAGUCAUUAGGGAAAUGCAAAUUAACACCACAGUGACAUAUCACUUCACAUUCAUUAGGAUGGCUGUUAAAAAAACCCAGCAACAGUGGAAAACUACAAGUGUUGGCAAGUAUGUGGAGAAAUUGGAACCCUCGUGCACUGUUGGUAGGAAUGCCAAAUGGGGUAGCUGCUAUGGAAGAAAAGUUUAACGUUUCCUCAAAAAAGUUAAACCCAGAAUUACCAUAUGAUGCAGCAAUUCCACUACUAGGUGUAUACCCAAAAGAAUUGAUAGCAAGGGCUUGAACAGAUAUUUAUAUGCCUAUGUACACAGCAGCAUUAUUAAGCAUAGCCUAAAGGUGGAAACAACCCAAGUGUCCAUUGACAGAUGGAUGCAUAAAGAAAAUGUGGUAUAUACAUUCAAUGGAGUAUUAUUCAGCCUUAAAAAGAAACCAAGUUCUGAUACAUACAACGACAUGGAUGUUGUAUGAAGACAUUAUGCUAAGCGAAAUAAGCCAGUCUCUAAAGGAAAUAUAUUGUGUGAUUCUACUUAUGUGAGGUACCUGAAACAGUCAAAUUGAUAGAAACAAAAGUAGAAUGGAAGUUACUAGGAACUGGGGGAGAGUGAAUAGGAAGUUAUUGUUUAAUGGUGUAAUGGACUGAAUUGUGCCCCUCUCUCCCCCCUGCCAGUUUAUAUGUUGAAGCCCUAACCGUCAAUGUAAGUGUAUUUGAAGAUACGGCUUUUAGGAGGUAAUUAAGCUAAAUGAGGUCAUAAGGAUGGAGUCCUAAUCUGAUAAAACUGGCUUAACAACAAGAGGAAGGAAGAGGGGUCUUUUCCCCUCGCCCGCCAAACCCAGCAUAUGCACAACCAUAUGAACACACAGAGAGGAGGUGGCUAUCUCCAAGGUGGGAAGACAGCCCUCGCGAGAACCUGACCUGACCAUGCUAGCAUCCUGAUCUCAGAAUUCCAGCCUCCAGGAGCAGUGACACAAUAAAUUAACCAUGUUCUUGGGACUCGGCAACCGUGGGACUAUACAGUCAACCCAAGAAGCCUCAGCAUUCACAUCAUAGUCAAAGUCAUUCAAGCAAAGCUAUAUCCAGUAAGAAAUUUCUCCUGUAGAGAGAAAUUUUUAUUUUACCUAUUCUCAGACUGACCCUUUGCUCAUUAUAAUAGUAAAACCACACUCACACAUAUAAUCUAGCACUUUGGGAAGCCAAGGCGGACGGAACACCUGAGGUCAGGAGUUUUGAGACCAGCUUGGCCAACAUGGUGAAAUCCCAUCUCUACUAAAAAUACCAAAAAUUAGCUGGGUGUGGUGGCGGGUGCCUGUAAUCCCAGCUACUCAGGAGGCUGAGACAGGAGAAUCACUUGGACCCAGGAGGCAGAGGCUGCAGUGAGCUGUGAUCACGCCAUUGCACUCCAGCCUGGCAACAGAGCGAGAAUGUGCCACAAAACAAAACAGAAACCAAACACACAGGUGGAGAUUUAAGAUGCUAAUGAGACAUGCGACAUAUGAACAAGCAUGUACAGCUACUGCACAUGUGCACCCAGAGGACCACCCAGAACAUGCUUCCUAGUAACACCUCUUCCCACCCACUUAUGAAUCAUCAUGUAAGACUCCCAUAGAGUCUCCCUAGUGCCAGUCUUUGCUGUCUCAUCCUUACCAGCAGCCUGCCAUGAAUCCUCUCUCUCUCAGAGUAUGCAGUGUAUUCUGCACCAAACUUUCCAAAUAUUCUUUUUCCUUUACAAUAAAUUGCUCUAUGCUGCAUCUUCUUUGCUGUGUGUCUCCAUUUACAUUCAUUUAAACUGAGAAGACAAAAACUGAGGUCUCACAACAGCCAACAACCACCUGAUGGAGACAGCAAAACUCCACAAUGAUCCACUCAGUAUCCUGGCAUAGACAAGAGAAAGAAUGUGAGGAGUUGUUCAGUUAUGGAAAGACAGAAAAAGGUGACUGAGAAGUAAAUUUUGGCAGUGCCUCUCAAAUGCUACUCAGGAUAACCACUGACUCAAAUAUUCCUAGCUUCAAUGGAAGGGCUGUCCAUAGGAUGGAGCUGAAGGUAUGAUGCUUCCAUCAAUAGACCCAGAGUGUUGUUCUUUCUGGCAAACAAACCCACUGGCCUCCCUGAUAAUGUGAAACAGCCUCUUCGUCUGUGUUCUGAUUCCAUGUUCAUCAAACAACUUUUUGACUCCUGUGUAAUCUGCUUACAUGGAGAGAAUGUGCUGAUGAUAUGGAUUUCAUGUUUUUCUAUUCUGUUUGACAGUAAUUUCUCAUGCAAAAUCAAUAAAGAGGUUUCCAAUGAACAUUUGAUGUCUACAUAGCUUUCUGAGACCAAAUGCACUGAUUUUACUCACACCUGGAUUUCUGAGCAUUGUGACACUUGUAUUAGUUUUCAUUGUCUAUAAAUAGUGGAUAUUUUGGUGUUGAUCUCAGCCUCCUGUGCAUUUUAGUUGGUGACAAUCAGUCCUGGGGACCUUAUCAUCGUGAAGGCUGUAAAAGAAUGUUUCUAGGUUUUCAAAGAGGAGAGUCAGUUUCAUGCAUCCAGCCUUUUCUUUAGGCUGCUGUCUCUCAAACUUUCUGUGUGGACCAGGCUGAAAUCAGAAAAGGUGGACAGGUGUCUGGGGAGUCAGCAAUCUUAGAUUGAAGUACAACAUUUUCCUGAAGUAUUCUUUCUAUUUUAAAAAUGUUAUAAAGUGUGCAUUCUAUUCUGUAACUGAUCUAUUUUGUGUCAAUGUUACUUUCAUAUGAUGUUUUUUGCCUACUAAAUUUUAAGUACAGUUGAUGUUCUGGAAAGAAAUGCUGUGGUUUCCUGUGGCCCACGUACUGUACUUCUGGGCAUGCAGCUGAGUACCCCUGCAGGGAUAUACUUAUGUGAAUUUCAGAAGCCCUGCCUUAGACACAUGCUUAAAUCUUGCAGUUAUGUGACUUCUAUGUCUUAGAGUUUUAAAUAAUUUUAUAAUUUAAAAAUCUAUUUUAUGAGCUUUAGCUACUUAACUUCUUCUAAAUAGAAUUUUUUAUACCAGAA